GACUACUGGGGUAUCUAAUCCUGUUUGCUCCCCACGCUUUCGCACCUCAGCGUCAGUAUCGGACCAGUUAGCCGCCUUCGCCACUGGUGUUCUUCCCAAUAUCUACGAAUUUCACCUCUACACUGGGAAUUCCACUAACCUCUUCCGGACUCGAGACACCCAGUAUCAAGGGCAGUUCCGAGGUUGAGCCUCGGGAUUUCACCCCUGACUUAAAUGUCAGCCUACGUGCGCUUUACGCCCAGUAAUUCCGAACAACGCUAGCCCCCUUCGUAUUACCGCGGCUGCUGGCACGAAGUUUGCCGGGGCUUAUUCUUCAGGUACCGUCAUUAUCGUCCCUGACAAAAGAGCUUUACAACCCGAAGGCCUUCUUCACUCACGCGGCAUGGCUGGAUCAGGCUUGCGCCCAUUGUCCAAGAUUCCCCACUGCAGCCACCCGUAGG
rnacentral:rRNA from 1 species